CAGAUUAUAUACCUAGGAGGUAUUUUCAUUUACAUUGGAGAGUUUGCUGUGCGAUUCAGUGUGGUCUGA
rnacentral:tRNA from 1 species